rnacentral:rRNA from 1 species
UACGGAGGGUGCAAGCGUUGCUCGGAAUUAUUGGGCGUAAAGGGUAGGUAGGUGGUCUCAUUUGUCUGAGGUGAAAGCCUUGAGCUUAACUCAAGAAGUGCCUCGGAAACGGUGAGACUGGAGUCCUGGAGAGGGUCGUGGAAUUCCCGGUGUAGCGGUGAAAUGCGUAGAGAUCGGGAGGAACACCAGAGGCGAAGGCGGCUCACUGGACAGGUACUGACACUCAACUACGAAAGCGUGGGGAGCAAACAGG